rnacentral:rRNA from 1 species
GACGAACGCUGGCGGCGUGCUUAACACAUGCAAGUCGAACGGUAAGGCCCUUCGGGGUACACGAGUGGCGAACGGGUGAGUAACACGUGGGUGAUCUGCCCUGCACUUCGGGAUAAGCCUGGGAAACUGGGUCUAAUACCGGAUAGGACCACUGCCUGCAUGGGUGGUGGAAAGCUUUUGCGGUGUGGGAUGGGCCCGCGGCGUAUCAGCUUGUGGGUGGGGUGAUGGCCUACCAAGGCGACGACGGGUAGCCGGCCUGAGAGGGUGACCGGCAACACUGGGACUGGGAUACGGCCCAGAAUCCUACGGGAGGCGGCAGUGGGGAAUAUUGCACAAUGGGCGCAGGCCUGAUGCAGCGACGCCGCGUGAGGGAUGACGGCCUUCGGGUUGUAGACCUCUUUCAGCACCGACGAAGCGCAAGUGACGGUAGGUGCAGAAGAAGGCCCGGCCAACUACGUGCCAGCCGCCGCCGUAA